rnacentral:rRNA from 1 species
GACGAACGCUGGCGGCGUGCCUAAUACAUGCAAGUUGAGCGCUGAAGGUUGGUACUUGUACCAACUGGAUGAGCAGCGAACGGGUGAGUAACGCGUGGGGAAUCUGCCUUUGAGCGGGGGACAACAUUUGGAAACGAAUGCUAAUACCGCAUAAAAACUUUAAACACAAGUUUUAAGUUUGAAAGAUGCAAUUGCAUCACUCAAAGAUGAUCCCGCGUUGUAUUAGCUAGUUGGUGAGGUAAAGGCUCACCAAGGCGAUGAUACAUAGCCGACCUGAGAGGGGGAUCGGCCACAUUGGGACUGAGACACGGCCCAAACUCCUACGGGAGGCAGCAGUAGGGGAUCUUCGGCAAUGGACGAAAGUCUGACCGGGCAACGCCGCGUGAGGGAAGAAGGGUUUCGGAUCGUAAAACUCUGUUGGUAGAGAAGAACGUUGGUGAGAGUGGAAAGCUCAUCAAGUGACGGUAACUACCCAGAAAGGGACGGCUAACUACGUG